rnacentral:rRNA from 1 species
CUUAGAGUUUGAUCCUGGCUCAGGAUGAACGCUGGCGGUAUGCUUAACACAUGCAAGUCGAACGGUGUCUUCGGACAUAGUGGCGGACGGGUGAGUAACGCGUGAGAAUCUAGCUUCAGGUCUGGGACAACCACUGGAAACGGUGGCUAAUACCGGAUGUGCCGGAAGGUGAAAGGCUUGCUGCCUGAAGAUGAGCUCGCGUCCGAUUAGCUAGUAGGUGGGGUAAGAGCCUACCUAGGCGACGAUCGGUAGCUGGUCUGAGAGGAUGACCAGCCACACUGGGACUGAGACACGGCCCAGACUCCUACGGGAGGCAGCAGUGGGGAAUUUUCCGCAAUGGGGGAAAGCCUGACGGAGCAAUACCGCAUGAGGGAGGAAGGCUCUUGGGUUGUAAACCUCUUUUCUCAGGGAAGAACACAAUGACGGUACCUGAGGAAUCAGCAUCGGCUAACUCCGUGCCAGCAGCCGCGGUAAUACGGAGGAUGCAAGCGUUAUCCGGAAUGAUUGGGCGUAAAGCGUCCGCAGGUGGCUGUGUAAGUCUGCUGUCAAAGAGCAAAGCUCGACUUUGUAAAGGCAGUGGAAACUACACGGCUAGAGUGCGUUCGGGGCAGAGGGAAUUCCUGGUGUAGCGGUGAAAUGCGUAGAGAUCAGGAAGAACACCGGUGGCGAAGGCGCUCUGCUAGGCCGCAACUGACACUGAGGGACGAAAGCUAGGGGAGCGAAUGGGAUUAGAUACCCCAGUAGUCCUAGCUGUAAACG